rnacentral:rRNA from 1 species
AUACGAAAGGUGCAAGCGUUGUUCGGAUUUACUGGGCGUAAAGAGAGUGUAGGUUGUUUAUUAAGUCGGAUGUGAAAUCCCGGGGCUCAACCUCGGAACUGCACUCGAUACUGAUAGGCUAGAGUUUGGGAGGGGUAAGCGGAAUUCCGUGUGUAGCAGUGAAAUGCGUAGAUAUACGGAGGAACACCUGAGGCGAAGGCGGCUUACUGGACCAAUACUGACACUGAGACUCGAAAGCGUGGGUAGCAAACAGGAUUAGAAACCCCGGUAGUCC